rnacentral:rRNA from 1 species
AUGGAGUCCGUGGCGGAGGAGAUCUUGCGCGAGAUCCUGCUGAGGCUGCCGACGAGGGACGUCGGCCGCGGCCGCUGUGUGUCACAGCAAUGGCGCGGUCUGCUCACCGACCCGUACUUCAUCGGCCUCCACGCCCACGCCGAUCACGUCAUCUCCGGCGCCGCAGCGGAGGCCCUCCUCGUGUCCAAGACCCAGACGCUAGGGUGCAACCCCGAGCUGGCAGUGUUCAACGUGUCCACGGCGGCGACCAUGUACGUCGUGGCCGGCCACUCGGAUGAGUACAGCCCCACAAACGCCUGCAACGACUUCCUCCUCCUCGCCGCGAACAACGUCUCCUGGAUGCUGGUCUUCGUGUGCAACCCCGUCACCGGCGACAAGUUGCAGGUCCUGCCGCUGCUCAAGAGCGGGAUCGACUCGGGCGCCCACUGUCACCAGCACGCCAUGGGCAUGACGGUCCUGAUCUCAGGGACCGGACCGGCCGCGAGGAAGCCCGGGCCCGACCGAAUGGACCGAAGGGACCGAAUGCGCGGGGUCGAUGUGUGCGGGUGCAGCGGCGAGUUGAGCGAGAUGGAGUCUGUGGCGGAGGAGAUCCUGCGCGAGAUCCUGCUGAGGCUGCCGACGAGGGACGUCGGCCGCGGCCGCUGCGUGUCACAGCAAUGGCGCGGUCUCCUCACCGACCCGUACUUCAUCGGCCUCCACGCCCACGCCGGCCACGUCGUCUCCGGCGCCGCCGCGGAGGCGCUGCUCGUGUCCAAGACCCAUACACUGGGGUGGAGUCCUGAGCUGACAGUGUUCAACGUGUCCACGGCGGCGACCAUGUCCGUCGUGGCCGGCCAUCCGGACGGGUACAGCCCGACAAACGCCUGCAACGGCUUCCUCCUCCUCGCCGCCAACAACUUCAUCUGGAUGCCAGUCUUCGUGUGCAACCCCAUCACCGGCGACAAGCUACGGGUCCUGCCGCCGCCCAUGAGCGAGACCGACUUCCGCAUCCACGGUCACGGGUACGCCAUGGGGUACAGCCCGUCGACGCGGCAGUACAAGCUCUUUCGCCUCUCCUUCUCCUCCUACGAGGGUCUGCACCAGAACUACGUCCACGUGCUCACCCUGGGCGGCGCCGAUGGCGGCAUGUGGCGCCGGCACCGGGGGCUCUACCGGUGCCACCGGAUGGGCUCAUGGCCGGCGCUAAUCGACCACAAACUGCACGUGUUGUGUAUGAAGUGGGAGCAUGAUACGAAGCCCAACAGGCUGCUGGUGGUCGACGUGGCCAGCGAGACGCACCGCAUGUACUGUCUCCCAGGGUACAAUGCCGAGGACGCCGUGGCCAACGUCCUCGACCUGAAUGGCCGGCUGUGUGUCGCCGUGCACGAGCUCGGUCCGCGCCGCGGCAAGCUCUAUUUCUGGGUCGUCCGGCCGCAGGGGCCGCAUGGCUGCUUGUACCUUUCGCCGCUCGUCUGGGAAAUGCGCUACAGCUUCGACAUGGGCGCCACCAGCUUCAUCAGCUUGCAUGUCCUGACCCCAUCAUGUGCCUGGCUAGACGUUGACGACGGUAUGCUCUACUACCUGUACGGCAACUGUGUUUACAAGCACGAUACCACGAAAGGACGCCGGCGGCAGGGCUGCAGGAAGGCAUGGGACCACAAACUCCAGCUGUUGUUGCCGAACGACCGCUGGUGGAGUGUCUUGUGUGGCUACCGCCCCAACCUACUCUCGCCGCACGAUCUCGCCAUUGCUCCAGAGAAAGAUGAAGAACGGUUUGAGCACCGGGUGCUACAUGCUCUCCGAUGCCAUAAGUCGUCGAAAAUUUUUGGCGACUCGCCACAGAUUGACGACGGCCAACUAGCUGCUAAGUUGCAAUCAGAGUCGUUGAUGUUAUCGAUCAAGUAA